AUUGAACGCUGGCGGCAUGCCUUACACAUGCAAGUCGAAUUGUAACAGGUCUUCGGAUGCUGACGAGUGGCGAACGGGUGAGUAAUACAUCGGAACGUGCCCGAGAGUGGGGAUAACGAGGCGAAAGCUUUGCUAAUACCGCAUACGAUCUCAGGAUGAAAGCAGGGGACCGCAAGGCCUUGCGCCCACGGAGCGGCCGAUGGCAGAUUAGGUAGUUGGUGGGAUAAAAGCUUACCAAGCCGACGAUCUGUAGCUGGUCUGAGAGGACGACCAGCCACACUGGGACUGAGACACGGCCCAGACUCCUACGGGAGGCAGCAGUGGGGAAUUUUGGACAAUGGGCGCAAGCCUGAUCCAGCCAUGCCGCGUGCAGGAUGAAGGCCUUCGGGUUGUAAACUGCUUUUGUACGGAACGAAAAGACUCCUUCUAAUAAAGGGGGUCCAUGACGGCACCGUAAGAAUAAGCACCGGCUAACUACGUGCCAGCCGCCGCCGUAAGAC
rnacentral:rRNA from 1 species